ensembl:misc_RNA Metazoa_SRP Metazoan signal recognition particle RNA
GCCGGGCGUGGUGGCGUGCGCCUGUAAUCUCAGCUACUCGGGAGGCUGAAGCAGAAGAAUCGCUUGAACCUGGGAGCCGGAGGUUGCAGUGAGCUGAGAUCCAGCCACUGCACUCCAGCCUGGGUGAUAGAGUGAGACUCUGUCUCAA